UAGGGAAUUUUGCGCAAUGGGGGAAACCCUGACGCAGCAACACCGCGUGAAUGUUAAGCCCUUCGGGGUGUAAAGUUCUGUCAGUAGGGACGAAAUUUGACUGUACCUACAAAGGAAGCACCGGCUAACUCCGUGCCAGCAGCCGCGGUAAUACGGGGGGUGCAAGCGUUGUCCGGAAUCAUUGGGCGUAAAGCGUUCGUAGGCGGUAUAUCAAGUCUGGUGUUAAAGCCCGGGGCUCAACUCCGGUUCGGCACUGGAUACUGGUAAACUAGAAUGCGGUAGAGGUAAGGGGAAUUCCUGGUGUAGCGGUGAAAUGCGUAGAUAUAACUUAGAACUCCGAUAGCGAAGGCAGCUUACCAGACUGUCACUGACGCUGAUGCACGAGAGCAUGGGUAGCAAACA
rnacentral:rRNA from 1 species